UAGUAACUGCGAGUGAAGAGGGAAGAGCUCAAAUUUAAAAUCUGAUGGUCAAUUUGGCUGUCCGAGUUGUAAGUUAGAGAAGCGUUAUCCGCGCUGGCCUGUGCAAAAGUCUCUUGGAAAAGGGCAUCAUAGAGGGUGACAAUCCCGUCUUUGGCACAGAUCACCAGGGCUUUAGUGAUGCGCUCUCGAUGAGUCGAGUUGUUUGGGAAUGCAGCUCUAAAUGGGUGGUAAAUUCCAUCUAAAGCUAAAUAUUGGCGAGAAACCGAUAGCGCACAAGUACCGUGAGGGAAAGAUGAAAAGAACUUUGAAAAGAGAGUCAAACAGUACGUGAAAUUGUUGAAAGGGAAACGCUUGAAGUCAGUCACAUCCUUUGGAAAUCAACUUGACUUUUUUGGUUGAGUGCACUUUCCAUUUGGAUGGGUCAGCAUCAAUUUUGACUGUCAGAUAAAGACCUUGGGAAAGUGACAUCAUUUAUGAUGUGUUAUAGCCCUAGGUUCAGAUAUGACAGUUGGGAUUGAGGAACUCGAAAAGACAUUCUUGUCUUUUCUAGGAUGCUGGCAUAAAUGGCUUUAAUCGACCCGUCUUGAAACACGGACCAAGGAGUCUAACAUGCAUGCGAGUGUUUGGGUGGAAAACUCUUGCGCGUAAUGAAAGUGAAAGUUGGGAACCCUGUCGUGGGGUGCACCGACGCCCGGACCUGACCUUUUGUGAGGGACCUGCGGUAGAGCAUGUAUGUUGGGACCCGAAAGAUGGUGAACUAUGCCUGAAUAGGGUGAAGCCAGAGGAAACU
rnacentral:rRNA from 1 species